rnacentral:rRNA from 2 species
UUAAGCAUAUCAAUAAGCGGAGGAAAAGAAACCAACAGGGAUUGCCCUAGUAACGGCGAGUGAAGCGGCAACAGCUCAAAUUUGAAAUCUGGCCCUAGUGGUCCGAAUUGUAAUUUGUAGAGGAUGCUUUGGGCGCGGUGCCUUCCGAGUUCCUUGGAACAGGACGCCUUAGAGGGUGAGAGCCCCGUACGGUUGGACACCAAGCCUAUGUAAAGCUCCUUCGACGAGUCGAGUAGUUUGGGAAUGCUGCUCUAAAUGGGAGGUAAAUUUCUUCUAAAGCUAAAUACCGGCCAGAGACCGAUAGCGCACAAGUAGAGUGAUCGAAAGAUGAAAAGUACUUUGAAAAGAGGGUUAAAUAGCACGUGAAAUUGUUGAAAGGGAAGCAUUUAUGACCAGACCUUUGCUAGGUGGAUCAUCCGGUGUUCUUCACCGGUGCACUUCGCCUAGCUUAGGCCAGCAUCGAUUUCUGUAGGGGGAUAAAGGUCUAGGGAACGUAGCUCUCUUCGGAGAGUGUUAUAGCCCUGGGCGUAAUACCCUUACGGGGAUCGAGGUUCGCGCUUCGGCAAGGAUGCUGGCAUAAUGGUCAUCAAUGACCCGUCUUGAAACACGGACCAAGGAGUCGAACAUUUAUGCGAGUGUUUGGGUGUCAAACCCUCACGCGUAAUGAAAGUGAACGGAGGUGAGAGCCCUUACGGGUGCAUCAUCGACCGAUCCUGAUGUCUUCGGAUGGAUUUGAGUAAGAGCAUAACUGUUCGGACCCGAAAGAUGGUGAACUAUGCGUGGAUAGGGUGAAGCCAGAGGAAACUCUGGUGGAGGCUCGCAGCGGUUCUGACGUGCAAAUCGAUCGUCAAAUCUGCGCAUGGGGGCGAAAGACUUAUCGAACCAUCUAGUAGCUGGUUACCGCCGAAG